CACUAUGCCUAGCCCUAAACAUUGGUAGCGCCCCACGCCCGCUACCCGCCCGGAAACUACGAGCAUCAGCUUAAAACCCAAAGGACUUGGCGGUGCUUUAGAUCCACCUAGAGGAGCCUGUUCUAGAACCGAUACCCCCCGUUUAACCUCACCCCUCCUUGUUAUUUCCGUCUAUAUACCGCCGUCGUCAGCCUACCCUGUGAAGGCCCAAUAGUAAGCAAAAUUGGCACAGCCCAGAACGUCAGGUCGAGGUGUAGCAUAUGGAAGGGGAAGAAAUGGGCUACAUUCUCUAAUCUCAGAGAAUACGCACGACAUAAUGAAAAUACAUGUCACAAAGGAGGAUUUAGCAGUAAGCAUGAAAAUAGAGAGUUCUGCUGAAAUAGGCCCUUAAGCGCGCACACACCGCCCGUCACUCUCCCCAAGCCUACAAAACCCAAACAACCUAAACACUAUACCUGCAAAGGGGAGGCAAGUCGUAA
rnacentral:rRNA from 1 species